UUAAUAAUAAAAUUUUAUUUGCAAAAGUCCAUUUUAUAUAUGUUGUAACAUAUUUACAACUUUUCUGAUUAUUAUCUUUGAAUUAAUAAAGAGGUCUGGAGACUUUCUAUAACUCUUAAUUUUUCUAGAGUUUCAAAUUCUUUUCUUAUUCGUUUUACAGCCUUAAUUAUUUCAAUUAUGGUUGUUUUCUUCCCUAAACCAUAUCAAUUUUGGCAUUAGAACUUAAUUAGAUCCUACGGUUGCUAUUAAGCCAUGGUUGGACAUAGUGGAUAUUAAGGAAGCGGAAGUCAAGGUCAAGAGACAAUAUUGACUGCAAUACAAAGUGAUAUUAAAGAAUUGUCGCAUGCAAUUUAUGCUACAUUGCGACAAGAGCCAGUGGGAGUCCAGAUGGAAUUCUGGAAGGUGCCCACAAUUGUGUAUGCCUUAGAAUUAAAUAGGGUGGAAUUAUAUAGGGUUAAGUUGAGGGUUAAUAAUAAAAUUUUAUUUGCAAAAGUCCAUUUUAUAUAUGUUGUAACAUAUUUACAACUUUUCUGAUUAUUAUCUUUGAAUUAAUAAAGAGGCCUGGAGAGUUUCUAUAACUCUAAGUUUUCUAGAGUUUCAAAUUCUUUUCUUAUUCGUUUUACAGCCAUAAUUCUUUCAAUUAUGGUUGUUUUCUUCUCUAAACCAUAUCAAUUUUGGCAUUAGAACUUAAUUAGAUCCUACGGUUGCUAUUAAGCCAUGGUUGGACAUGGUAGAUAUUAAGGAAGCGGAAGUCAAGGUCAAGAGACAAUAUUGACUGCAAUAUGAAGUGAUAUUAAAGAAUUGUCGCAUGCAAUUUAUGCUACAUUGCGACAAGAACCAGUGGGAG
rnacentral:lncRNA from 1 species